rnacentral:tRNA from 1 species
CAUUCCAUCGUGUCGCGGUUAGCACGUCUGCUUUACACGCAGAAGGCCUAGGUUCGUGCCCCAGUGGAGCCA